rnacentral:rRNA from 1 species
GGUAUCAGAAGUGCGAAUGCUGACAUAAGUAACGAUAAAGCGGGUGAAAAGCCCGCUCGCCGGAAGACCAAGGGUUCCUGUCCAACGUUAAUCGGGGCAGGGUGAGUCGACCCCUAAGGCGAGGCCGAAAGGCGUAGUCGAUGGGAAACGGGUUAAUAUUCCCGUACUUGGUGUUACUGCGAAGGGGGGACGGAGAAGGCUAUGUUGGCCGGGCGACGGUUGUCCCGGUUUAAGCGUGUAGGUGUGUGUUCCAGGUAAAUCCGGUUCACUUUAACACUGAGGCGUGACGACGAGGCACUACGGUGCUGAAGCAACAAAUGCCCUGCUUCCAGGAAAAGCCUCUAAGCAUCAGGUAACAUCAAAUCGUACCCCAAACCGACACAGGUGGUCAGGUAGAGAAUACCAAGGCGCUUGAGAGAACUCGGGUGAAGGAACUAGGCAAAAUGGUGCCGUAACUUCGGGAGAAGGCACGCUGACACGUAGGUGAAGUGAUUUACUCAUGGAGCUGAAGUCAGUCGAAGAUACCAGCUGGCUGCAACUGUUUAUUAAAAACACAGCACUGUGCAAACACGAAAGUGGACGUAUACGGUGUGACGCCUGCCCGGUGCCGGAAGGUUAAUUGAUGGGGUCAGCGCAAGCGAAGCUCCUGAUCGAAGCCCCGGUAAACGGCGGCCGUAACUAUAACGGUCCUAAGGUAGCGAAAUUCCUUGUCGGGUAAGUUCCGACCUGCACGAAUGGCGUAAUGAUGGCCAGGCUGUCUCCACCCGAGACUCAGUGAAAUUGAACUCGCUGUGAAGAUGCAGUGUACCCGCGGCAAGACGGAAAGACCCCGUGAACCUUUACUAUAGCUUGACACUGAACAUUGAGCCUUGAUGUGUAGGAUAGGUGGGAGGCUUUGAAGCGUGGACGCCAGUCUGCGUGGAGCCGACCUUGAAAUACCACCCUUUAAUGUUUGAUGUUCUAACGUGGACCCGUGAUCCGGGUUGCGGACAGUGUCUGGUGGGUAGUUUGACUGGGGCGGUCUCCUCCUAAAGAGUAACGGAGGAGCACGAAGGUUGGCUAAUCCUGGUCGGACAUCAGGAGGUUAGUGCAAUGGCAUAAGCCAGCUUGACUGCGAGCGUGACGGCGCGAGCAGGUGCGAAAGCAGGUCAUAGUGAUCCGGUGGUUCUGAAUGGAAGGGCCAUCGCUCAACGGAUAAAAGGUACUCCGGGGAUAACAGGCUGAUACCGCCCAAGAGUUCAUAUCGACGGCGGUGUUUGGCACCUCGAUGUCGGCUCAUCACAUCCUGGGGCUGAAGUAGGUCCCAAGGGUAUGGCUGUUCGCCAUUUAAAGUGGUACGCGAGCUGGGUUUAGAACGUCGUGAGACAGUUCGGUCCCUAUCUGCCGUGGGCGCUGGAGAACUGAGGGGGGCUGCUCCUAGUACGAGAGGACCGGAGUGGACGCAUCACUGGUGUUCGGGUUGUCAUGCCAAUGGCACUGCCCG